UGGAUCUCUGGGAGCUCAGAGACUUUAGCUGACUCUCUUCUGGGCCUGGUGCUAGUAAAAGCCUGAUUUGAUGUGCAGCCUGGUUCUUUCUGUACACAAACAGGCGCAGCAGAGGGAGCCACAUGCUGCGGGUUGCUGAUAGCUCCCAACAGGUUGCCCAAGGCCAAUCACAAGCAGCAUUAUACAAAGAUC